CUCCUACGAGAGGCAGCAGUGGGGAAUUUUGGACAAUGGGGGCAACCCUGAUCCAGCAAUGCCGCGUGAGUGAAGAAGGCCUUCGGGUUGUAAAGCUCUUUUGUCAGGGAAGAAACGGCACUUUUAAAUAAAGGGUGUUAAUGACGGUACCUGAAGAAUAAGCACCGGCUAACUACGUGCCAGCCGCCGCGGUAAUUC
rnacentral:rRNA from 1 species